UACCAGCACCCCGAGUGGUCGGGACGUUUAUUGGGCCUAAAGGCAUCCGUAGCCGGUUCUACAAGUCUUCCGUUAAAUCCAGCUGCUUAACAGAUGGGCUGCGGAAGAUACUAUGGAGCUAGGAGGCGGGAGAGGCAAGCGGUACUCGAUGGGUAGGGGUAAAAUCCGUUGAUCCAUUGAAGACCACCAGUGGCGAAGGCGGCUUGCCAGAACGCGCUCGACGGUGAGGGAUGAAAGCUGGGGGAGCAAACCGG
rnacentral:rRNA from 1 species